rnacentral:lncRNA from 1 species
CAGUCGAUUAAUGGAAAAAACCCUAAGAUUUGGGGUUCAUUUGAGUUCUGAUAUUAUUUGCUAUGUGACUUGUUUGUUUCUCAUUUCUGAACUUGUUUGGUUUCAAAAGCCUAAUUUCUUUGGACCUACUUGAGUUUCUGAAGUUGUCUCAUCUAUUGUUCGACUGAAUUUCAAAAUAUUUUGUUUCUUUAUCUUAUUCUAAAUCCCUUCUAAACUCUUCUAAGGUCUUUCUACUGAACCCAUUGCACGCUAUUUGAUACUCUCUCUCUCUUCUCCAUUGGUUAUUGAAACUGAACUAUGGGACUACCAUGUUCCUAUAGUCUACUACUUACUGAUUUUGUAAUUGUGUGACACUUUUCUUUGUCCUAAAUUAAGCCUCACAUGCCUAAUACUUGUGUGCUAUUUAUAUAUGUUGAGCUUCCUCUCUAAAAUGACUUUCAAUUUUUGACUGAUUUCAUACCUACUUGUGUAAGUCUGAUUAUUUAUUUCCCUAUUUGUUGAUGU